rnacentral:rRNA from 1 species
CCUACGGGUGGCAGCAGUGAGGAAUAUUGGUCAAUGGACGAGAGUCUGAACCAGCCAAGUAGCGUGAAGGAUGACUGCCCUAUGGGUUGUAAACUUCUUUUAUAUGGCAAUAAAAUGUUCCACGUGUGGGAUUUUGUAUGUACCAUAUGAAUAAGGAUCGGCUAACUCCGUGCCAGCAGCCGCGGUAAUACGGAGGAUCCGAGCGUUAUCCGGCUUUAUUGGGUUUAAAGGGAGCGUAGGUGGAUUGUUAAGUCAGUUGUGAAAGUUUGCGGCUCAACCGUAAAAUUGCAGUUGAAACUGGCAGUCUUGAGUACAGUAGAGGUGGGCGGAAUUCGUGGUGUAGCGGUGAAAUGCUUAGAUAUCACGAAGAACUCCGAUUGCGAAGGCAGUUCACUGGACUGCAACUGACACUGAGGCUCGAAAGUGUGGGUAUCAAACAGGAUUAGAUACCCGGGUAGUC